rnacentral:rRNA from 1 species
CACGGGGGGAGCAAGCGUUGUUCGGAAUCACUGGGCGUAAAGGGCGUGUAGGCGGUCAAGUAAGUGGAAUGUGAAAGCCCCCGGCUUACCCGGGGAUCUGCAUCCCAAACUGCUUGGCUUGAGUACGGGAGAGGAUGGAGGAAUUCCUGGUGUAGCGGUGAAAUGCGUAGAUAUCAGGAGGAACACCGGUGGCGAAGGCGUCCAUCUGGCCCGAUACUGACGCUGAGACACGAAAGCGUGGGUAGCAAACAGG